UUUUAGGUGGCUGAGAUCAAGCACUAGACUUUUAAUCUAUCCUACGGUAUUAAUAUAUACCCCUAGCAC
rnacentral:tRNA from 1 species